GAGCAAAUACACCCGGCUGCACAGCUGCCCGGAAGCUGACCUCUGAGGGACAGCCGGGCUGUGUACCCGGCGCUUCUCCACCUGGCCACAAGUGGAAAUCACCUGGGAAAUUCUGUGGUGGCCACGUACACCUGGACAUCACAGUGCUGAUGGGCAGGCCAGAGAAGGGAGAGUCUUAACUACAACACCUGUGUUGCAGGACAAAAGCCAACCCGCUCUCUACUCUCAAAUUGGCUGCUAUUCGCGAUUCCUGAAUCAGAUGACAGGCCAUGCACAAAACAACACAGCUUGGAGCCUGCGAGCAGACUCACCAGCCCCCAGCACACCCUCUUGCACACCACCAGCUCCUUGGCCAGAACUUCACCACCACCACCAGCAGCUUCACCUACAACCUCAGGUUCCUGUUCGUCCUCCUUUUUCCAUUUGCCCUUCUGCCCGUUCCUGCUGCUCCUAACAUCAUCAAUAAAUGCAGCUACUUACCACGUACCAUAUGCUUGGCAAUUCUUCCCUUGAAUAAGAACUUGGACUAUUCUUGGGCCUUUCAACUGUAACCGUGGCACAUGCCUGUAAUCCCAGCUACUCAGGAGGCUGAAGCAGCAAGACUUCAAGUUCGAGUCCAGACUGGACAACUGAAU
rnacentral:lncRNA from 1 species